rnacentral:rRNA from 1 species
UGGGGAAUCUUGCACAAUGGGGGCAACCCUGAUGCAGCGACGCCGCGUGAGCGAUGAAGGUUUUCGAAUCGUAAAGCUCUGUCCUAUGGGAAGAUAAUGACGGUACCAUAGGAGGAAGCCCUGGCUAAAUACGUGCCAGCAGCCGCGGUAAUACGUAUGGGGCGAGCGUUGUCCGGAAUUAUUGGGCGUAAAGGGUACGUAGGUGGUUUUUUAAGUCAGGUGUCAAAGCGUGGAGCUUAACUCCAUUAAGCACUUGAAACUGAAAGACUUGAGUGAAGGAGAGGAAAGUGGAAUUCCUAGUGUAGCGGUGAAAUGCGUAGAUAUUAGGAGGAAUACCGGUGGCGAAGGCGACUUUCUGGACUUUUACUGACGCUCAGGUACGAAAGCGUGGGGAGCAAACAGG